CGCGUAGGCGGUUGAGUAAGUCAAAUGUGAAAUCCCCGGGCUUAACCUGGGAACUGCAUUCGAUACUGCUUAACUAGAGUAUGGUAGAGGGAAGUGGAAUUCCGGAUGUAGCGGUGAAAUGCGUAGAUAUCCGGAGGAACACCAGUGGCGAAGGCGACUUCCUGGGCCAAUACUGACGCUGAGGUGCGAAAGCGUGGGGAGCAAACA
rnacentral:rRNA from 1 species